AGUAACACGUGGGUAACCUGCCCUGAUGAUCGGGACAACCCGGGGAAACCCGGGCUAAUACCGAAUGUGCCCGCGAGCCACAAGGCUUGCGAGGAAAGGAAGCUUCGGCCUCCGCAUCGGGAUGGGCCCGCGGCCCAUUAGCUUGUUGGUGGGGUAACGGCCUACCAAGGCAGCAAUGGGUAGCUGGUCUGAGAGGACGAUCAGCCACACUGGGACUGAGACACGGCCCAG
rnacentral:rRNA from 1 species